rnacentral:rRNA from 1 species
GAUGAACGCUGGCGGCGUGCCUAAUACAUGCAAGUCGAGCGAACAGACGAGGAGCUUGCUCCUCUGACGUUAGCGGCGGACGGGUGAGUAACACGUGGAUAACCUACCUAUAAGACUGGGAUAACUUCGGGAAACCGGAGCUAAUACCGGAUAAUAUAUUGAACCGCAUGGUUCAAUAGUGAAAGACGGUUUUGCUGUCACUUAUAGAUGGAUCCGCGCCGGAUUAGCUAGUUGGUAAGGUAACGGCUUACCAAGGCAACGAUGCGUAGCCGACCUGAGAGGAUGAUCGGCCACACUGGAACUGAGACACGGUCCAGACUCCUACGGGAGGCAGCAGUAGGGAAUCUUCCGCAAUGGGCGAAAGCCUGACGGAGCAACGCCGCGUGAGUGAUGAAGGUCUUCGGAUCGUAAAACUCUGUUAUUAGGGAAGAACAAAUGUGUAAGUAACUAUGCACGUCUUGACGGUACCUAAUCAGAAAGCCACGGCUAACUACGUG